GGCAGCGGCGGCGCUUCCUGGUGCGGGGGGGGCGGCGCGGAGGGCAUGGCGCUGGUGACGGUGCGGCGGGCGGGGGGCUCCGCCGGGGGCCCCGCGGAAGAAGAUGCUCCCAGACGUGGCAAACUGCAGCGGCGGCAGAGCUUUGUCAUGGUCAAGGGGGCUGCGCUACUGCUGCCUGCGGAGGAGCCCCCCCAGGACGAGCCCCCCCCGGCUGAGACCCCCCUGGAUGAGUCUCCCCCAGAUGAGUCCCCUGGCCAGGCCCCGGGGCAGCAGGAGAAGCACCUGCACCUCAUGAUGCAGUUGCUGCGCCCCCAGGAUGCCAUCCGGCUGGCGGUGCGGCUGGAGUCGGCGCGGCCGCGGCGUGUGCGGUACCUGCUGGUGGUGCGGCCAGAGGAGGCGGGAGCCGAGGGCCAGACGGCGCUGCUGGGAGUGGAUUUCGCCCACGAGGGGGCCGCCCGCUGCACCCUGGGCAUGGUGCUGCCCCUCUGGAGCGACACCCAGGUGUUCCUCGACGGCGAUGGGGGGUUCAGCGUGACAUCGGGGGGACAGACCCGCAUCUUCAAGCCCAUCUCAGUGCAGACCAUGUGGGCCAUGCUGCAGGAGCUGCACCGCGCCUGCGAGGACGCUGCCCGCGGUGGGCACAUCCCGGGGGGCCCCACGCUGGCCUGGGCCCACGACUACGCGGCAGCACUGAGCUCGGAGCAGAGCUGCCUCAACGAGUGGCUGGCCAUGGCUGACCUCGAGUCCGUGCGCCCCGCAUCGCCCCCACCCCUGUGGCCAGCAGCGACGGAGCUGUCAGAGCAGGCGGUGCGGGCACUGCUGCGGGACGUGAUGGCCACUGCUGACCUGGAGAACGUCACCUCCAAGGAGGUGCGGGAGGAGCUGGAGCGGCGCACGGGGCACAGCCUGGCCCAGCACAAGGACUUCAUUGACAACGAGAUGCUGCUGGUGCUGGCACAGAUGGACCGGCCCUCACGCGUCUUCCCACACCUCUACCUGGGUUCCGAGUGGAACGCGGCCAACCUGGAGGAGCUGCAGCAGAACAAGGUCACUCACAUCCUGAACGUGGCACGGGAGAUUGACAACUUCUUCCCAGCGCUGUUCACGUACAUGAACGUGCGGGUGUAUGACGAGGAGGCGGCCCAGCUCCUGCCCCACUGGAAUGACACCUUUCUCUUCCUCUCCCACGUCCGGGCGUCGGGGGGCCGGGCACUGGUGCACUGCCGCAUGGGACUGAGCCGCUCAGCCGCCACCGUGUUGGCCUACGCCAUGAAGGAGUUCGGGUGGCCCCUGGAGCGGGCGCUGCGGCAUGUCCGGCACUGCCGGCCCAGCGUCCUGCCCAACCCGGGCUUCAUGCGGCAGCUCGACUUCUACCAGGGCAUCCUGAGCGCCAGCCGGCACAGCAGCCUGUGGGAGCCCCGAGCGGCCGAGCGGGCGCCGCACCCCGAGGAGGACUCCCCGAGGGACACGGGUGUCCCGUCCCCGCUGUCCCCGCUGUCCUCCCCGCAGCCCCCCGAGGAGGAGGCGGCCGGGAGGGCGGUGCUGGGGGCCUCCCGGCGCCCCCGCAUCUCCCUCUGCGCUGUCAUGCGGAGCAUCAGCCUUCUGGAGACCCCCGAGCCCCCCGAGCUGCCGGAGGAGCCCCUGGCCGGGGAGCUGUCCCUGGUCAUUCUUGUGUUUGCGGGGAGUAAAAAUGGCCUUGGAGAUUUGCUUCUGGGAACAGAGAUCCAUUUCCUGAUGGAAAUGGAACUGAGUCUCUGUGAGAACUGAGGAUGGUACAGAAGGAGUGCUGGGAUUGGAGAGUCCACAGUGAGUAUUGUGUGGACUGACUGAGGCUGUGGAUUGCAAUGCAGAGCAUCUGCAGGCUCCUGGUGCUUGGGGCUGUGGUGUUUGGAGUGCAGGAAACAUCCCUGACUGUCUGACCUGGGUGUGGAUGUGCAUUUCCAGGACUAACUCAGUCUGGGUAUCCCACCCACCCAAAGCUUCUGAUGAAGCUCCAGGACCAGCAAGUCCCUGAAACUUGAGGAAGAAAAGAAAUGAGUUAAAGUAGAAAGAUCAGAUGAUGGAAUUGUCACUCUGGAUGUGUGCUGAGCUCUGGUGGCAGGGGACUGUCAGGCCCUAAUGGCUGCACAUUCUUGUUCUUUUCACUGGGAAAUUGGGAGUAAUUAUUACUUAGAUUGCAGAAAUAUUUUCUGAAACUUU